UACGGAGGGUGCAAGCGUUAAUCGGAAUUACUGGGCGUAAAGCGUGCGUAGGCGGUUAAUUAAGUCAGAUGUGAAAGCCCCGGGCUUAACCUGGGAACUGCAUUUGAUACUGGUUAACUAGAGUUGAGUAGAGGAGAGUGGAAUUUCAGGUGUAGCGGUGAAAUGCGUAGAUAUCUGAAGGAACACCAGUGGCGAAGGCGACUCUCUGGACUCAAACUGACGCUGAGGUACGAAAGCGUGGGUAGCAAACAGG
rnacentral:rRNA from 1 species